AGGUUCAAGUGCGUAGGCUUAAGAGUUAGGUAAAUCCGGCUCUUUUUAAGGCUGAGACACGACGUCGAGCACCUACGGGUGUGAAGUCAUUGAUGCCAUGCUUCCAGGAAAAGCCUCUAAGCUUCAGAUUGUAAGGAAUCGUACCCCAAACCGACACAGGUGGUCGGGUAGAGAAUACCAAGGCGCUUGAGAGAACUCGGGUGAAGGAACUAGGCAAAAUGGUACCGUAACUUCGGGAGAAGGUACGCUCUCGACGGUGAAGUCCCUCGCGGAUGGAGCUAUUGAGAGUCGCAGAUACCAGGUGGCUGCAACUGUUUAUUAAAAACAC
rnacentral:rRNA from 1 species